rnacentral:rRNA from 1 species
UGGGGAAUAUUGCGCAAUGGGCGAAAGCCUGACGCAGCCAAUCCGCGUGGGUGAUGAAGGCCUUCGGGUUGUAAAGCCCUGUCGUGCGGGAAGAAACCUGACGGUACCGCACAAGAAAGCACCGGCUAACCCCGUGCCAGCAGCCGCGGUAAUACGGGGGGUGCAAGCGUUGCUCGGAAUCACUGGGCGUAAAGCGUCCGCAGGCGGACACGCAGGUCGGGUGUGAAAUCCCGGGGCUCAACCCCGGAACUGCAUUCGAAACCGCGCGUCUCGAGUACGGGAGAGGGUGGCGGAAUUCCUGGUGUAGAGGUGAAAUUCGUAGAUAUCAGGAGGAACACCGGUGGCGAAAGCGGCCACCUGGCCCGAUACUGACGCUCAUGGACGAAAGCGUGGGGAGCAA